GAUCUUGCUCCAAAAAGAAAAAUAAUUCAACAUCGAGGUCAUAAACUUUUUCUUCAAUACGGGCUUUUAGAAAAAAUUAUGCUGUUAUCCCUGCGGUAGCUUGUUUUAUUCUUAUUUUAAGGCUGGAUAAAAGAGAGAAGGAAAAGAUUUAGUUUUUUACCACCCCAGUAAAACUGAAGUAAAGUUCGACAGGGUCUUGUCGUCCUUCUUAAAGAUACAAGUCUUUUUACUUGUACGAAAAUUUAAAAUAACAAAGAAAAUAAAGGAAUUUAUAUGUUAAACCUUUCAUGCUAGCCUUUAAUUAGAAGGCAAAUGAUUACGCUACCUUAGCACAAAAUAAUUGCGGCUAUUUAAAAUGAUCUAUUGAGCAGGUUUUACUGAAUGUAACUCCGUUCAGCAAUGUUUUUGGUAAACAGACAAUAAAUAAUAGCCGAGUUCAUAAUCUUUGUGUGGAAAAAGAAUAAAUCAAAAUUAACUUUAAAAAGUUACAAAUUUUUACUAAUGAAGUCAUUGUGGUUUUUACUAGAGAAGUUUCUUUUAGUAAAAUUUUUAAAAGUCAUACAUGAAGUUUAAAGACUGGUUGGACACUAUUAAUCCUAAAAAUUAGGAAAAUGUAAGGUAAAAUAUUUUAAAAAAGUUAACUUUUUUAAAAUAUUAGUAUUAUUACUUUAAAAGAAAACCAGAUAUCAUAGAAUGCGAAUGAAGUUUCAUCACUAAAAUUGAUUUGAUAGACUUUUUGAAAUAAAACUAGCAUAAGAAUUUUAGAUCAUUUCAAUUUCGGGAGGAUCUUUAAUAAGAAAUAAUUAGACUCCCCCUGAUACAAAAGGUACAAAGCUUCUCUAUAGAACAAGAAUAAUUUUCCCCUCACGGUUAAUGAAAAAAAAGGACCAUAGUUUAUAAAAAUAAUACUUUUUUAGAUAGAAUCUUCAAAAGUACU
rnacentral:rRNA from 1 species